UGAACCCCAAGGAGGCAGAGUCUAUCAAGGAUGUAGAGACAGAGCCAGCAUGGAUGCAAGCAAUAUGGGAUACAUUCUGCUGAGUAUUUCUAAUCUGCCUUGCCCUUGGGCAGCUGUUCCAGCUUUGACCUGGAAGUACUACCCCCAUUGAGUCUUCAGUAACUGUCACGCCUACAAGGCGGAGCCGAGAGAGGACCCCUGAAGACCUGAGAUCUGAAUGGGCUGGCUCUCUUGGUUCCUGGACCCUGGACACUGCAGGUGGACCAAGCAGAGUUCUCCAGAGAACACCACUGGACUGCACUGCACCUUUCCCAGACCCUGUAACCUAUCCCUUCACUUGUAAGUUAACCCACAAAAUAAACCUCCCUUUUAACUACA